UUUAUUUUUCCUUCAUCACAUUUGAUCAAUUGCAAGAGGCAUUGAUUCGUAGGUACUGCAAUUUGACACGUUGUUGAUGCUCAUUGUGCACCUUGGCCCAAUUGCAUGUCGCUCCGGUUGCUAGUAGAUAACUCAUGGUUCGGUUAAUUAGACUGUCUGCAUUGGCAAAGCGAAAAGUGUUGUCGUCGAUAAAAGGCACAAUAAAUGUCGUUGGAUACGCACUUGGCGGACGUGCGACGGUAAAUUUCUCAAUAAGACAAUCACAAGGGCUCGCAAUACUAGAGCGCUAUUGCCAAAAAUUGGUAAAUCCACGCACAAUGGAAAAUGUAUACUUCACGAAUUGCUACACGUCAGCGUUUCGAGUGGUACAUUGUAUAAGAUAAAGAUAAGGCAGGUGCGCUCGUCCCCCCGACCAAGACUAGACGUCCAUUGCAGGGACAACUACGAGCUGUCGUCGUCCAAAACAGUACGUCAUAAUAAUAUCGUAAUCGGCCAUUAAGCUCUUUACAAUAUUAUUUAAAUGAUUAUUUCUGUAAAAUAAACGCUAAACUUUUAAAUCGAACAAAA